UAGACACUCCCUCCGUCCAAUAAAAGAUGUCUCAAGUUUGUCAAAAUUUAGAUGUAUCUAGACAUGACUUAGUGUAUAGAUGCAUUCAAAACAUCUUUUAUUGGACGGAGGAAGUAUUAU
rfam:Brachypodium distachyon strain Bd21 chromosome 1, whole genome shotgun sequence.